rnacentral:lncRNA from 1 species
UUGCCGCUGCGCGAGGCGCGGCCUGAGGCAACCGCCCCCAUCCUGGCCAGAGCGCACGCCUGGGACUGUGCUUCGAAGGUGUAGGAUAGGGAGCGAGAUUUGCCUGCGCCUACGGAGACGGGAGGAAGGAGCAGAGAGGAUGCAGAGGCCCGACAGAUCAACCAGCAGCAGAGGGUGGGUGGGUUGGAAGCCCUCUCUCUGGGAUGGGAUUACUUCUCUCCCUUUGCGGAGGCCAGCAGAUAUCAUACACGAGUUCGUUGUUGCCUAAAAAAAAACAGUUCGUUGCUUUUUUUUCGGAAAAACUUUCAAUCUAUUCAUCUUCAAUCAUGACAGUACAACGAAUACCAAAAAUAAAAAUUACAUCCAGAUUCGUAAACCACCUAGCGACGACUACAAGCACCGAAGCAAGCCGAAGGCGCGCCGCCGUCAUCGCCCCUCCAUCGCCAGAGCCGGGCACAACUUGUUGUAGUAGACAGUCGGGAAGUCGUCGUUACUUUAAUCUGUACAGCAGAGUAUGUAUGCGUGCCUGCAAUAUAUUUCUACCACAUGUAAGUUAAUUGUGCGGCGUAGCUUCAUAGCUAUUCCUGCCAUUUUCUACAACAUACCUAGUUUCACUGCCAACAUUAAUGUGUUUGCGAGGUACUCCCUUCGUUUCAAAAUAGAUGACUCAAUUUUGUACUAAUAUAAAGUUGAGUCAUCU